rnacentral:rRNA from 1 species
UACGGGGAGGGCAAGCGUUGUUCGGAAUUACUGGGCGUAAAGGGCGCGUAGGCGGCUUUUCAAGUCGGGCGUGAAAUCUCCGGGCUCAACCCGGAAAUGGGCAUUCGAAACUACCUUGCUAGAGGGUUUGAGGGGGGACUGGAAUACUUGGUGUAGCAGUGAAAUGCGUAGAUAUCAAGUGGAACACCAGUUGGCGAAGGCGAGUCCCUGGAAAACUCCUGACACUGAGGCACGAAAGCUAGGGGAGCAAACAGG